CUGUACUUUGCCCUCUGAUUCAACUGACCUGACAUCUACAGACUGAGUAUGACACUAUUAACGUAAGUGGGGAACACCCAGUUUCCUCUAUUAUAUCAAUGAUAAAGGCAACCAAGGUGAUAUAGAUAACACAUGACUUUAAAGUAAAUCACAAAGUCAAGCAGACAAUGGCAGUACCGGCACCAACUUAUGUGGACUUCAUGAUGCAUCAUCCCGUUUUUGUCACAACAAUCGUUCUUAUCAUAGCAGCAUCUCUGGUGAUUUGUUGGAUUUCGUACCAGGUCAGCCAACGUGACCGAGUCUCCGUAAAUACCAGAACGGAUCAGUACACAGGUCCUCUAGUCACAUGUGGAAUACGUCCACAGAAAACGGUGACAAGCACAGUCAACUCUUCGGGGAAAACCUUUAAAAGAAUAUUUUACGAUGCAUCGCAAGCUGAUCGAGCCAUCAAAGGAGAAUGAAUACCCUGCUUACGGACAAAAUGAUUCAAAGGUUAAAAAAUGCACCCAAUUCGCAAUUUCAGAAAAAUUAUAUUUUAAAUGGAAAAUACCAUACAACUGGUAUGGUGAGACUACGCAUUGAUCUUAAACUGAACUAUUUUCGUGUACAACCGCAAGCUGAUUGGUUUGAUACAGGUGUGUGAUCUUAAAAAUGUGACGAACUGCACGGAACAAGGAACUAGGAGUGAAAAUUUGAUUUCUCGACCUGAACGAAACUAUUGCCAUGCUCGGUGUCUUACCUAAUUUGUCGGUCUGUGAUAAUGAUUUAACUUGUUUUCUCUUCUUUUUCUUCUUCUUGAGCAUCAACCUCAUUGGUGCUUGAUGGACGUACGUCAGCGUUGCCGAGAAGAUAAAAUUCUGGCGUUUCCUUUUCUGAUUAUCGUCUCUUAAAAAUUAUGAAAUGGAAUGAAACUUAUUAGCCGAAAUACAAUCUAGUGUACGGUAAAUCAAGAAAACAAAGGUUUUAAUUUGGUGUCUUUUGGGGUCAGCAAAGUUCGUGAGAACAAAACACCAUUAAAAACAAUAUUUUAUCAAAAUAACUGUCAUAGUGGUGUAAUAAAAAAGCUGAAUUAAAACUACACCAAAGGUGCAAUUUCACAAAACCUCUGACUCUGACAGUCAGGAAUGUUUUUUCGGCUAACAGUACCAGGCCACCAAAGAUUGAUAGAGCAAUACAACAUAUCCCUCAGAAAAAUAGAGCAGAUGUAUAAAAUGUAAGUUGAUAUUCAUUAUUAUUGUAAAAUAUGCUAAAUUUCAAGGGCUUGGUGUUGACCAAAUUUUGGUGUAAUGACCGGUCUUGAAAAACGUCCUGAUCAGGUUAAAAAACAGUUCAAAAUCGUCCCACUAUACUGAAAGGUUGAUGUUGAACAUAAAUUUUUAAGGCACUUUUUUUCAAUAUUUUAAAGUAAAUGUAUUCGAUAUCAUAAUGGCAUCAUCAAUUUUGAAUAAUGAAUAAAAUCUGCUUUUCACUGUAA